AUGGACGCAAGUCUGAUGGAGCAACGCCGCGUGAGUGAAGAAGGCUUUCGGGUCGUAAAACUCUGUUGUUGGAGAAGAAUGGUCGGCAGAGUAACUGUUGUCGGCGUGACGGUAUCCAACCAGAAAGCCACGGCUAACUACGUGCCAGCAGCCGCGGUAAUACGUAGGUGGCAAGCGUUAUCCGGAUUUAUUGGGCGUAAAGCGAGCGCAGGCGGUUUUUUAAGUCUGAUGUGAAAGCCCUCGGCUUAACCGAGGAAGUGCAUCGGAAACUGGGAAACUUGAGUGCAGAAGAGGACAGUGGAACUCCAUGUGUAGCGGUGAAAUGCGUAGAUAUAUGGAAGAACACCAGUGGCGAAGGCGGCUGUCUGGUCUGUAACUGACGCUGAGGCUCGAAAGCAUGGGUAGCGAACAGGAUUAGAUACCCUGGUAGUCCAUGCCGUAAACGAUGAAUGCUAGGUGUUGGAGGGUUUCCGCCCUUCAGUGCCGCAGCUAACGCAUUAAGCAUUCCGCCUGGGGAGUACGACCGCAAGGUUGAAACUCAAAGGAAUUGACGGGGGCCCGCACAAGCGGUGGAGCAUGUGGUUUAAUUCGAAGCAACGCGGAGAACCUUACCAGGUCUUGACAUCUUUUGAUCACCUGAGAGAUCAGGUUUCCCCUUCGGGGGCAAAUGACAGGUGGUGCAUGGUUGUCGUCAG
rnacentral:rRNA from 2 species